AAGUCGAACGCUUCUUUUUCCACCGAGAGCUUGCUCCACCGNGAAAAAGAAGAGUGGCGAACGGGUGAGUAACACGUGGGUAACCUGCCCAUCAGAAGGGGAUAACACUUGGAAACAGGUGCUAAUACCGUAUAACAAUCAAAACCGCAUGGUUUUGAUUUGAAAGGCGCUUUCGGGUGUCGCUGAUGGAUGGACCCGCGGUGCAUUAGCUAGUUGGUGAGGUAACGGCUCACCAAGGCCACGAUGCAUAGCCGACCUGAGAGGGUGAUCGGCCACAUUGGGACUGAGACACGGCCCAAACUCCUACGGGAGGCAGCAGUAGGGAAUCUUCGGCAAUGGACGAAAGUCUGACCGAGCAACGCCGCGUGAGUGAAGAAGGUUUUCGGAUCGUAAAACUCUGUUGUUAGAGAAGAACAAGGAUGAGAGUAACUGUUCAUCCCUUGACGGUAUCUAACCAGAA
rnacentral:rRNA from 1 species